rnacentral:rRNA from 1 species
AUUGAACGCUGGCGGGAUGCAUUACACAUGCAAGUCGAACGAGUGGCGGACGGGUGAGCAAUAUAUCGGAACGUGCCCAGUAGCGGGGGAUAAGUACGCGAAAGAGUGGCUAAUAGCGCAUACUAUAGGAGCGACCGAUAUCGGAUGAGCUAGUGGGUGGGGUAAAGGCGAACCAAGGCAACGAUCCGUAGCUGGUUUGAGAGGACGACCAGCCACACUGGGACUGAGACACGGCCCAGACUCCUACGGGAGGCAGCAGUGGGGAAUUUUGGACAAUGGGGGAAACCCUGAUCCAGCCAUCCCGCGUGUAUGAGAAGGCCUUCGGGUUGUAAAGUACUUUUGGCAGAGAAGCGGUAUCUGCAGAAUAAGCACCGGCUAACUACGUGCCAGCAGCCGCGGUAAUUC